UACGUAGGGUGCGAGCGUUGCCCGGAUUUAUUGGGCGUAAAGGGCGCGCAGGCGGCUACGCACGUCCGUUGUGAAAUCGCUCGGCUCAACUGGGCGGGGUCAGCGGAUACGGCGUAGCUGGAGCAAGCUAGGGGGCAAUGGAAUUCCCGGUGUAGUGGUGGAAUGCGUAGAUAUCGGGAGGAACACCAGUGGCGAAGGCGGUUGCCUGGAGCUUUGCUGACGCUGAGGAACGAAAGCGUGGGGAGCGAACAGG
rnacentral:rRNA from 1 species